UAGUAAAAUAAGCUAAAU
rnacentral:tRNA from 1 species